GAUCCUGGCUCAGAUUGAACGCUGGCGGAAUGCUUUACACAUGCAAGUCGAACGGUAGACGGGGGCAACCCCUCGAGAGUGGCGAACGGGUGAGUAAUAUAUCGGAACGUGCCCAGUCGUGGGGGAUAACGUAGCGAAAGUUACGCUAAUACCGCAUACGAUCUACGGAUGAAANCGGGGGACUCGUAAGAGCCUCGCGCGAUUGGAGCGGCCGAUAUCAGAUUAGGUAGUUGGUGAGGUAAAGGCUCACCAAGCCAACGAUCUGUAGCUGGUCCUGAGAGGACGACCAGCCACACUGGAACUGAGACACGGUCCAGACUCCUACGGGAGGCAGCAGUGGGGAAUUUUGGACAAUGGACGCAAGUCUGAUCCAGCCAUUCCGCGUGCAGGACGAAGGCCUUCGGGUUGUAAACUGCUUUUGUACAGAACGAAAAGGUCUCUAUUAAUACUAGGGGCUCAUGACGGUACUGUAAGAAUAAGCACCGGCUAACUACGUG
rnacentral:rRNA from 1 species